rnacentral:rRNA from 1 species
CCUACGAGAGGCAGCAGUGGGGAAUAUUGGACAAUGGGGGAAACCCUGAUCCAGCGACGCCGCGUGAGUGAAGAAGUAUUUCGGUACGUAAAGCUCUAUCAGCAGGAAAGAAAAUGACGGUACCUGACUAAGACGCCCCGGCUAACUACGUGCCAGCAGCCGCGGUAAUACGUAGGUGGCAAGCGUUAUCCGGAUUUACUGGGUGUAAAGGGAGCGUAGACGGAAGCGCAAGUCUGGAGUGAAAUGCCGGGGCCCAACCCCGGAACUGCCCUGGAAACUGUGAAGCUGGAGUGCAGGAGAGGUAAGGGGAAGUCCUGGUGUAGCGGUGAAAGGCGUAGAUAUCAGGAGGAACACCGGCGGCGAAGGCGGCGUACUGGACUGUAACUGACGUUGAGGCUCGAAGGCGUGGGGAGCAAACAGGAUUAGAUACCCGGGUAGUC